rnacentral:rRNA from 1 species
AGUGAACGCUGGCGGUAGGCCUAACACAUGCAAGUCGAACGGCAGCACAGUAAGAGCUUGCUCUUACGGGUGGCGAGUGGCGGACGGGUGAGGAAUACAUCGGAAUCUACUUUUUCGUGGGGGAUAACGUAGGGAAACUUACGCUAAUACCGCAUACGACAUACGGGUGAAAGCAGGGGAUCUUCUGACCUUGCGCGAUUGAAUGAGCCGAUGUCGGAUUAGCUAGUUGGCGGGGUAAAGGCCCACCAAGGCGACGAUCCGUAGCUGGUCUGAGAGGAUGAUCAGCCACACUGGAACUGAGACACGGUCCAGACUCCUACGGGAGGCAGCAGUGGGGAAUAUUGGACAAUGGGCGCAAGCCUGAUCCAGCCAUACCGCGUGGGUGAAGAAGGCCUUCGGGUUGUAAAGCCCUUUUGUUGGGAAAGAAAAGCAGCAGGUUAAUACCCCGCUGUUCUGACGGUACCCAAAGAAUAAGCACCGGCUAACUUCGUG